UAGAACUUCUUUUGCAAGUUUGUUCGUAGUCUACACCGACUUGACCCUCAGCUCUCCAGCUCGAUUCGAUACUGACCUCGCCAACUUCCUUCCAGAGCCUUACAGCAACAGAUGCAUAACCUUCUGCCAAACUAUUUCAUAACCUUGAGGAGAUAAUAAGUACUGUGUGAUAAUGCAUAGGUGAAAGCAGAAUAAUAUACAUGAAAGGUCCUAAUAAGCAUGCCACA
rnacentral:lncRNA from 1 species